rnacentral:rRNA from 1 species
UACGAAGGGUGCAAGCGUUACUCGGAAUUACUGGGCGUAAAGCGUGCGCAGGCGGUCUGUUAAGACAGAUGUGAAAUCCCCGGGCUUAACCUGGGAACUGCAUUUGUGACUGGCAGGCUAGAGUAUGGCAGAGGGGGGUAGAAUUCCACGUGUAGCAGUGAAAUGCGUAGAGAUGUGGAGGAAUACCGAUGGCGAAGGCAGCCCCCUGGGCCAAUACUGACGCUCAUGCACGAAAGCGUGGGGAGCAAACAGG